rnacentral:rRNA from 1 species
GACGAACGCUGGCGGCGUGCCUAACACAUGCAAGUCGAACGGAGUAUCCAGCAAUGGAUGCUUAGUGGCGAACGGGUGAGUAACGCGUAGACAACCUGCCUCUAAAUUGGGGACAACACCGCGAAAGUGGUGCUAAUACCGAAUGUGGUAUCUUAGUCGCAUGACUGAGAUAAGAAAGGUGGCCUCUAUUUAUAAGCUACCGAUUAGAGAUGGGUCUGCGUCUGAUUAGCUAGUUGGUGAGGUAAUGGCUCACCAAGGCGACGAUCAGUAGCCGGUCUGAGAGGAUGAACGGCCACACUGGGACUGAGACACGGCCCAGACUCCUACGGGAGGCAGCAGUGGGGAAUCUUCCGCAAUGGACGAAAGUCUGACGGAGCAACGCCGCGUGAAUGAAGAAGGCCUUCGGGUUGUAAGCUCUGUUGCCCGGGACGAAAAGCCUGUAGGUUAAUAGCCUGCAGGACUGACGGUACCGGGAGAGGAAGCACCGGCUAACUCCGUGCCAGCCGCCGCGGUAA